rnacentral:rRNA from 1 species
UCAGGAUGAACGCUAGCUACAGGCUUAACGACAUGCAAGUCAGGGGCAGCAUGAACUUAGCUUGCUAAGUUGAUGGCGACCGGCGCACGGGUGAGUAACGCGUAUCCAACCUGGCCCUUAGUAGGGGAUAGCCCGGCGAAAGUCGGAUUAAUACCCUAUGUUUUCCCAUGAGAGCAUUUGAAAGGGAUAAAGACUUGUCGCUAAGGGAUGGGGAUGCGUCUGAUUAGGUAGUCGGCGGGUAACGGCCCACCGAGCCGUCGAUCAGUAGGGGUUCUGAGAGGAAGGUCCCCCACAUUGGAACUGAGACACGGUCCAAACUCCUACGGGAGGCAGCAGUGAGGAAUAUUGGUCAAUGGACGAGAGUCUGAACCAGCCAAGUAGCGUGCAGGAUGACGGCCCUAUGGGUUGUAAACUGCUUUUGCCGGGGAAUAAAGUGGCGGACGCGUCCGCUAUUGCAGGUACCCGGCGAAUAAGGAUCGGCUAACUCCGUGCC